rnacentral:lncRNA from 1 species
UAAUUUCUAAAAUUUCUUAAAAACCUAUCUCCUACCCAAAAGUUCUGGCGUUAGAAAUGGCAUUGCAGAGCAAUAACGACGGGCACGACCGCCGCCGACGCCUCCUCAGUCCUGCCGCUCUAUCGAUGCCGGCGACCUCACGAAAUAGUGCAGAUGAAGAGAAGGAAUCGUACGAAAAGGAACUGCACCGAGACGAGAACGAGAUCGAAAUCUCUCCGCCGCCUCCGGACUCGACGGUGGGGCUGCCACCGGAAGAGUACUUCAACUUUUGUGUUGUUGAAUAUAUAUUUCCUUUUAUUUAGUAUUAACAUCCAUCAUUCUUACUGUUGCGGGCGGGGCGACGGAUCUGAAACCUAUUUUUAAUGUGGUUGUGGGAUGUGGAGAAGAUUGUGAUGGUGGCGGUUGUGGCGGUGAUGGUGCAGGAUGGUUGAACUGGUGGUGGGGAGCGGCGGGGCAGCGGCGGGGCAGCGGCGGAGUUGAAGCGGUGCUGAUUUGUGGGUGUGGACUGGUGG